AGUUACAACUUUCAACAAACGGAUCUCUUGGUUCUGGCAUCGAUGAAGAACGCAGCGAAAUGCGAUAAGUAGUGUGAAUGNCAGAAUUCAGUGAAUCAUCGAAUCUUUGAACGCACAUUGCGCCCCUUGGUAUUCCAUGGGGCAUGCCUGUUCGAGCGUCAUUUGUACCUUCAAGCUCUGCUUGGUGUUGGGUGUUUGUCUCGCCUCUGCGCGUAGACUCGCCUUAAAACAAUUGGCAGCCGGCGUAUUGAUUUCGGAGCGCAGUACAUCUCGCGCUUUGCACUCAUAACGACGACGUCCAAAAGUACAUUUUUACACUCUUGACCUCGGAUCAGGUAGGGAUACCCGCUGAACUUAAGCAUAUCAAUAAGCGGAGGAAAAGAAACCAACAGGGAUUGCCCCAGUAACG
rnacentral:rRNA from 1 species